AACAGAGUUUGAUUUAUGAAUUUGAACUUUUUGUUCAGUUGUGUAGAUUUUUCUUUCAUGUAUGUAUAUACAUUUCCUUCUCUUUCGUUAAACAAUACAGAAAGAAAUCUGGUUAUUUUAAUGUUUGCAGCAUGAGAGGGAAUAAACACAAAAAGACUAUUUGUGUAGCCAAUAUACCAGGCAGAGUUCAUUUGCGAGCUCAUCUGACAUCUUUUGAGUUUUCUGAUGCGAGACUUGUAAGUUGAACCAGCCUAUGAUCAGUUCCAAGUAACUCCAAAUUUUCAAGUUUGAUUAGGACUAAACCAGAAAAGCUACAGCUUGUCAUGUGUGUUGGAGUUCAUCCCAGGGAGAUCCAGCAAUCUGUAUGGUUACAAAUGGAGGUACAAGUCAUUUAUUUCCAGUUUGUUGAACUGUUCCAAAUUAGUCUGUCGAUAUUUUCUCAUGGAUAGGUUACCUGAUAUGUAGCUUUGGUACACCAGUACUCUAUUUUGGAUCUGAUUUAUUACUAUAUGUAUCCAGAGCUUGGAUCAUAUGAGCAUUCAUCCAUCGAAUUUACAUUAUAGAUUGAUUGAAGCUAUUUGUAAAAUUUGAUAGGAUAUAUAUUUUUUAUU
rnacentral:lncRNA from 1 species